CAACAAGCUGGCGAUUGACUGGGGCUGGUGCCAGGCUCCUUGAGGGUGUGAUGCGUAGUUGCUGGCUUGUUUGGUGACUUGGAGAUGGUGAUAUGUUGGGAUGAUACCCAGGAGGUCCAGGAAUAGACUUCACAGGAGAAUAUGCCCGGGUGGCUGCUUGGCCCAGAAUGAUGAGGGUGGAGCCAACCUGAACCCAACCUGCAACCUGGAGAUGAUCCCGGCCAACCCAGAGAACUGUGCGUGAGAAAAAUAAAUGUUGACAGGGGUUGGCA
rnacentral:lncRNA from 13 species